UUGAUCUCAAAUCAGGUAGGAUUACCCGCUGAACUUAAGCAUAUCAAUAAGCGGAGGAAAAGAAACUAACAAGGAUUCCCCUAGUAACUGCGAGUGAAGCGGGAAGAGCUCAAAUUUAAAAUCUGGCAGCCUUUGGUUGUCCGAGUUGUAGUCUGGAGAAGCGUUUUCCGUGUUGGACCGUGUAUAAGUCUCUUGGAACAGGGCGUCAUAGAGGGUGAGAAUCCCGUCUUUGACACGGACUACCAAUGCUUUGUGAUGCGCUCUCGAAGAGUCGAGUUGUUUGGGAAUGCAGCUCAAAAUGGGUGGUAAAUUCCAUCUAAAGCUAAAUAUAGGCGAGAGAC
rnacentral:rRNA from 2 species